CCGGGACACACGUGUUACAAUGGCAGGUACAGAGGGGUGCUACCGGGUGACCGGAUGCCGAUCUCGAAAACCUGUCCCAGUUCGGACUGGAGUCUGCAACCCGACUCCACGAAGUUGGAUUCGCUAGUAAUCGCGCAUCAGCCAUGGCGCGGUGAAUACGUUCCCGGGCCUUGUACACACCGCCCGUCAAGCCAUGGGAGCCGGGGGCGCCUGAAGUCCGGGACCGCGAGGACCGGCCUAAGGCGAAACUGGUGACUGGGGCUAAGUCGUAACAAGGUACC
rnacentral:rRNA from 1 species